GAGUUCAUAGCUCAUUGGGUAGAGCAGCGGACUCACAGUCUGCAAGUUCUAGGUUCAAGUCCUAGUGGACGUACC
rnacentral:tRNA from 1 species